UACGGGGGGGGCAAGCGUUGUUCGGAAUUACUGGGCGUAAAGGGUUCGUAGGUGGCCUGCUAAGUCACACGUGAAAUCCCUCAGCUUAACUGGGGAACUGCGUGUGAUACUGGCGAGCUUGAGUGCAGGAGAGGAACGCGGAAUUCCAGGUGUAGCGGUGAAAUGCGUAGAUAUCUGGAGGAACACCGGUGGCGAAGGCGGCGUUCUGGACUGCAACUGACACUGAUGAACGAAAGCCAGGGGAGCAAACGGG
rnacentral:rRNA from 1 species